rnacentral:rRNA from 1 species
AAAUUGAAGAGUUUGAUCAUGGCUCAGAUUGAACGCUGGCGGCAGGCCUAACACAUGCAAGUCGAGCGGAAACGACACUAACAAUCCUUCGGGUGCGUUAAUGGGCGUCGAGCGGCGGACGGGUGAGUAAUGCCUAGGAAAUUGCCUUGAUGUGGGGGAUAACCAUUGGAAACGAUGGCUAAUACCGCAUAAUGCCUACGGGCCAAAGAGGGGGAUCUUCGGACCUCUCGCGUCAAGAUAUGCCUAGGUGGGAUUAGCUAGUUGGUGAGGUAAUGGCUCACCAAGGCGACGAUCCCUAGCUGGUCUGAGAGGAUGAUCAGCCACACUGGAACUGAGACACGGUCCAGACUCCUACGGGAGGCAGCAGUGGGGAAUAUUGCACAAUGGGCGAAAGCCUGAUGCAGCCAUGCCGCGUGUAUGAAGAAGGCCUUCGGGUUGUAAAGUACUUUCAGUUGUGAGGAAGGGGGUAACGUUAAUAGCGUUAUCUCUUGACGUUAGCAACAGAAGAAGCACCGGCUAACUCCGUGCCAGCAGCCGCGGUAAUACGGAGGGUGCGAGCGUUAAU